UACGGAAGGUCCAGGCGUUAUCCGAAUUUAUUGGGUUUAAAGGGAGCGUAGGCCGUUUGGUAAGCGUGUUGUGAAAUGUCGGGGCUCAACCUGGGCAUUGCAGCGCGAACUGCCAGACUUGAGUGCGCAGGAAGUAGGCGGAAUUCGUCGUGUAGCGGUGAAAUGCUUAGAUAUGACGAAGAACUCCGAUUGCGAAGGCAGCCUGCUGUAGCGCAACUGACGCUGAAGCUCGAAAGCGUGGGUAUCGAACAGG
rnacentral:rRNA from 1 species